UUCAGUUAUGGUGAUAUGGUGCCAAAGACGAUUGCCGGAAAAAUAGUUGGCGGCUUGUGUUCCUUGAGCGGAGUUUUAGUCAUCGCACUUCCUGUUCCUGUUAUUGUGUCCAAC
rfam:Crassostrea gigas strain 05x7-T-G4-1.051#20 contig11122, whole genome shotgun sequence.